CAGAGAUUUCCGAAUGGGGAAACCCAGCAUGAGUUAUGUCAUGUUAUCGAUAUGUGAAUACAUAGCAUAUCAGAAGGCACACCCGGAGAACUGAAACAUCUUAGUACCCGGAGGAAGAGAAAGAAAAUUCGAUUCCCUUAGUAGCGGCGAGCGAAACGGGAAGAGCCCAAACCAACAAGCUUGCUUGUUGGGGUUGUAGGACACUCUAUACGGAGUUACAAAGGACGACAUUAGACGAAUCAUCUGGAAAGAUGAAUCAAAGAAGGUAAUAAUCCUGUAGUCGAAAAUGUUGUCUCUCUUGAGUGGAUCCUGAGUACGACGGAGCACGUGAAAUUCCGUCGGAAUCUGGGAGGACCAUCUCCUAAGGCUAAAUACUCUCUAGUGACCGAUAGUGAACCAGUACCGUGAGGGAAAGGUGAAAAGCACCCCGGAAGGGGAGUGAAAUAGAACCUGAAACCG
rnacentral:rRNA from 1 species